rnacentral:rRNA from 1 species
AGGCGUUGGCAUUGGCGCUGUCUCUUAUACACAUCUAGAUGUGUAUAAGAGACAGCAGUUGUAGUUCGACCACCGGGUUGCCGUUGACCCGGGAGCCGGUGUCGGUGAUGGUCAUCACCCGGGCUCUGGCGGGCAAGCCAAGGGUACGCAGGCGGCGGGCGCGCAGGCUGCCCCAGAGCAUCGGGCCCAGACCGAAGACGAACAUCGCGGCCACGGCGGCGUAGACCAGGUACUCAAUCAUCGGACGGCGACUCAUGGACCCUACGGCGGCGGCAGGCGGCUUGUGGGCGGAACCAUCAGGGCGCCAGCAGCAGGAUCUUAGGCUGGCUGGGCACCACGCGGCAACCCGGGCAGUUGGUGUUGUUCUGGAUCGCCACACUCGUCAUGCGCGUGCCAGGCAUGCCGCCGACCAGGCAGGUGAAGGCCGCGGUCAUGUGCCGUACCGGCCCUGUCUCUUAUACACAUCUAGAUGUGUAUAAGAGACAGGGUUUCCUACGCAACGUUCAUCGGCGUAGGGUGAGUCGGCCCCUAAGGUGAGGCAGAGAUGCGUAACUGAUGGGAAACAGGUCAAUAUUCCUGUACCGAUGUGUAGUGCGAUGUGGGGACGGAGAAGGUUAACUCGGCCAGGUGUUGGAUAUCCUGGUUCAAGCUUGUAGUCGUGGUCCUUAGGCAAAUCCGGGGACCUUAGAUGAGGAGUGUUAACGAGGCGGCUUGCCGCCGAAGUGAGUGAUACCCUGCUUCCAAGAAAAGCCACUAAGCUUCAGCUACACACGACCGUACCGCAAACCGACACUGGUGCGCGAGAUGAGUAUUCUAAGGCGCUUGAGAGAACUCUGGAGAAGGAACUCGGCAAAUUGACACCGUAACUUCGGAAGAAGGUGUGCCUUUAGUAGGUGAAGUCGUACAGACGGAGCCCAAUGAGGCCGCAGAGAAUCGGUGGCUGCGACUGUUUAUUAAAAACACAGCACUCUGCAAACACGAAAGUGGACGUAUAGGGUGUGACGCCUGCCCGGUGCCGGAAGGUUAAGUGAUGGGGUGCAAGCUCUUGAUCGAAGCCCCGGUAAACGGCGGCCGUAACUAUAACGGUCCUAAGGUAGCGAAAUUCCUUGUCGGGUAAGUUCCGACCUGCACGAAUGGCGUAACGAUGGCCACACUGUCUCCUCCUGAGACUCAGCGAAGUUGAAAUGUUUGUGAUGAUGCAAUCUCCCCGCGGAAAGACGGAAAGACCCCAUGAACCUUUACUGUAGCUUUACAUUGGACUUUGAACAGAUCUGUGUAGGAUAGGUGGGAGGCUUUGAAGCGGUGCCGCUAGGUGUCGUGGAGCCAACGUUGAAAUACCACCCUGGUGUGUUUGAGGUUCUAACCUUGGCCCGUUAUCCGGGUUGGGGACAGUGUAUGGUGGGCAGUUUGACUGGGGCGGUCUCCUCCCAAAGCUGUCUCUUAUACACAUCUAGAUGUGUAUAAGAGACAGGUUCGUGACUGGGGUGAAGUCGUAACAAGGUAGCCGUAUCGGAAGGUGCGGCUGGAUCACCUCCUUUCUAGAGAA